UUAUAUUUUCAAUACAAAUAUUAACAGUCACAACAUAUAAACAUUAAUAUUUACAUACGUAAUAUGAAGUGAUUCGCAUAGUUUGUCUUAUGUUAAAAUCUAUGGAGUAUUUUAUUAUUUAACAUUUAGAAUUUAUUACAAUUGUAUCAAAAUUGAGCAAAUCAUAUAUUAGCGAGAUUCAAUUACAAUAAGUAACAAUAAAAAUAAAAUAAAUUUAGAAAGGGAAAAUAAAUGGUAUUUUAUGUAUAAAACACAGGAAGCAAUAUUUGUGAACACUUUCAAUGAACAAUAGUAUUGAUAGCAGAUUUAUACAACAAAUAUAUAAUUUUUAACUGUAGCAGUCUUUAUGAAAGAUUCUAUACUAUUACUUAAAGUUCAAAAUACGGAAUCUAAAAUGUUUAAUAAUUGCUUAUUCCACACUAUCAAAUGAUAAUACUUCAUGAAACAUGGCACGAAAUUGCAUGGAGCCUUCAUGCUCCAAUUUUGUGAGCAAAGACAUAAGGAUGUAAACUAUAUGUAUAUUGUCAAAAUUAAGAUUUGUAUUUUUUGAUUUUAUAAAUUAAGAGGUGUAUAAAAAACGACGGAUAAAAAUACGUUAGCUACAAUUGUAUCAUAGUUACCAAGGAUUGUACGAAUUACUUAUGAUUAAAUGGAUAUUUACUACUAUACAACAAAUUCGUUUGUAAUGUAAUCUAUACAUCAUAUUUGAUCAUUAUAAACACUUCUGUAAUUGAAUUAAAUAUAUUUUACAUGUAAUAAAUGUAAUAAAUUGAACGAUAACGCAAAGGACUGUACGGAAUUUGUUGUUACAUGAGUCAUGAACUGUUAUAACUGUGCGUAAAAAUAAUAUUGAUAUAAUAAUUCAAAAUUUAUCAUAUACUUUAUAAAGAAAUGUUUCCAGGUAUACUAUACUGUCCUUUUCGGGAAUGUAUAUCAACUGCUCGAACUGCGAAGUGAUAAUUAUUUCCUUCAGAAAACUGCAAAAAGGAAGACAUUACAAAUAUCUAUGGAAUAUACUCUAGUGUUUAAACACAAUCUGUUCAAAUUACUUGUGUAAGUGUGCACGCCAUAGGUAGUGGUAAAGCUCGAACAUCGCCUACUUUCUUCCACAAUGACGUGUUAGGAGGAACACCAGCAAUUUCCUGGUAUAAAUUUGCAAGUUGUAACAUACCAUGUGCAACUUUAGAAAUUUUUAAUGAUGGAGCUGGUGGUGAAAGUUUCCAAAGAGGAUUUACAGCAUAAUUACGCGUAUCUGGUAAGGGUGCUGGAUGCUGAAACAAAUACAAUUAUAAACAUACAAGCAUAAACAUAAGUACCUGUAUUAUUAAAACAAAACUGUUAAUUGAAAGUAUACCUUAUUUAACUGUACAUUAGAAGUAGCUGGAGUCGU